UUGAAGCAAAUAAGUUCAAAGGGGCGUAACACUAAGAAAAAAAAAUGAAUCGUAAUUUCCUGUCGAUAUGCACAACUACAUAGUAUGUCCUUAUUAUCUAAAAAGGUUUCAUGAAAUUCUGUUGUGUGGUUUCAGAGGAGUUACGAUGACAAACUGUUGCAGUAGUACAUUAAAGCAAAUAAGUUCAAAGGGGCGUAACUCCUGGAAAAAAAAUUGAAUCUUAAUUUCCUGUCGAUAUGCACAUCUACGUAGUAUGUCCUUAUUAUCUGAAAAGGUUUCAUGAAAUUCUGUUGUGUGGUUUGAGAGGAGUUGCGAUGACAAAAGGUUUCAGUAGUAUAUUGGGCAAAUAAGUUCAAAGGGGCGUAACUCCUGGGAAAAAAUUGAAUCGUAAUUUCCUGUCGAUAUGCACAUCUACGUAGUAUGUCAUUAUUAUCUGAAAAGGUUUCAUGAAAUUCUGUUGUGUGGUUUGAGAGGAGUUGCGAUGACAAAAGGUUUCAGUAGUAUAUUGGGCAAAUAAGUUCAAAGGGGCGUAACUCCUGGAAAAAAAGUGAAUCUUAAUUUCCUGUCGAUAUGCACAUCUACGUAGUAUGUCCUUAUUAUCUGAAAAGGUUUCAUGAAAUUCUGUUGUGUGGUUUGAGAGGAGUUGCGAUGACAAAAGGUUGCAGUAAUAUAUUGGGCAAAUAAGUUCAAAGGGGCGUAACUCCUGGGAAAAAAAUUGAAUCGUAAUUUCCUGUCGAUAUGCACAUCUACGUAGUAUGUCCUUAUUAUCUGAAAAGGUUUCAUGAAAUUCUGUUGUGUGGUUUGAGAGGAGUUGCGAUGACAAAAGGUUGCAGUAGUAUAUUGGGCAAAUAAGUUCAAAGGGGCGUAACUCCUGGAAAAAAAAUUGAAUCGUAAUUUCCUGUCGAUAUGCAUAUCUACGUAGUAUGUCCUUAUUAUCUGAAAAGGUUUCAUGAAAUUCUGUUGUGUGGUUUCAGAGGAGUUGCGAUGACAAAAGGUUGCAGUAGUAUAUUGGGCAAAUAAGUUCAAAGGGGCGUAACUCCUGGAAAAAAAAUUGAAUCGUAAUUUCCUGUCGAUAUGCAUAUCUACGUAGUAUGUCCUUAUUAUCUGAAAAGGUUUCAUGAAAUUCUGUUGUGUGGUUUCAGAGGAGUUGCGAUGACAAAAGGUUGCAGUAGUAUAUUGGGCAAAUAAGUUCAAAGGGGCGUCACUCCUGGAAAAAAAAUUGAAUCGUAAUUUCCUGUCGAUAUGCAUAUCUACGUAGUAUGUCCUUAUUAUCUGAAAAGGUUUCAUGAAAUUCUGUUGUGUGGUUUCAGAGGAGUUGCGAUGACAAAAGGUUGCAGUAGUAUAUUGGGCAAAUAAGUUCAAAGGGGCGCAACUCCUGGGAAAAAAAUUGAAUCGUAAUUUCCUGUCGAUAUGCACAUCUACGUAGUAUGUCCUUAUUAUCUGAAAAGGUUUCAUGAAAUUCUGUUGUGUGGUUUGAGAGCAGUUGCGAUGACAAAAGGUUGCAGUAGUAUAUUGGGCAAAUAAGUUCAAAGGGGCGUAACUCCUGGAAAAAAAAUUGAAUCGUAAUUUCCUGUCGAUAUGCACAUCUACGUAGUAUGUCCUUAUUAUCUGAAAAGGUUUCAUGAAAUUCUGUUGUGUGGUUUCAGAGGAGUUGCGAUGACAAAAGGUUGCAGUAGUAUAUUGGGCAAAUAAGUUCAAAGGGGCGUCACUCCUGGAAAAAAAAUUGAAUCGUAAUUUCCUGUCGAUAUGCAUAUCUACGUAGUAUGUCCUUAUUAUCUGAAAAGGUUUCAUGAAAUUCUGUUGUGUGGUUUCAGAGGAGUUGCGAUGACAAAAGGUUGCAGUAGUAUAUUGGGCAAAUAAGUUCAAAGGGGCGCAACUCCUGGGAAAAAAAUUGAAUCGUAAUUUCCUGUCGAUAUGCACAUCUACGUAGUAUGUCCUUAUUAUCUGAAAAGGUUUCAUGAAAUUCUGUUGUGUGGUUUGAGAGCAGUUGCGAUGACAAAAGGUUGCAGUAGUAUAUUGGGCAAAUAAGUUCAAAGGGGCGUAACUCCUGGAAAAAAAAUUGAAUCGUAAUUUCCUGUCGAUAUGCACAUCUACGUAGUAUGUCCUUAUUAUCUGAAAAGGUUUCAUGAAAUUCUGUUGUGUGGUUUCAGAGGAGUUGCGAUGA